rnacentral:rRNA from 1 species
UACAGAGGUCUCAACCGUUGUUCGGAUUCAUUGGGCGUAAAGGGCGCGUAGGCGGCCAUUCAAGUCGGAUGUGAAAGCCCAGGGCUCAACUCUGGAAUUGCCCUCGAUACUGUUUGGCUAGAGACCGGAAGAGGUAGGUGGAACUGCGAGUGUAGAGGUGAAAUUCGUAGAUAUUCGCAAGAACACCAGUGGCGAAGGCGGCUUACUGGUCCGGUUCUGACGCUGAGACGCGAAAGCGUGGGGAGCAAACAGG